GACGAACGCUGGCGGCGUGCUUAACACAUGCAAGUCGAACGGAAAGGCCCUGCUUUUGUGGGGUGCUCGAGUGGCGAACGGGUGAGUAACACGUGAGUAACCUGCCCUUGACUUUGGGAUAACUUCAGGAAACUGGGGCUAAUACCGGAUAGGAGCUCCUGCUGCAUGGUGGGGGUUGGAAAGUUUCGGCGGUUGGGGAUGGACUCGCGGCUUAUCAGCUUGUUGGUGGGGUAGUGGCUUACCAAGGCUUUGACGGGUAGCCGGCCUGAGAGGGUGACCGGCCACAUGGGGACUGAGAUACGGCCCAGACGCCUACGGGAGGCAGCAGUGGGGAAUAUUGCACAAUGGGCGGAAGCCUGAUGCAGCAACGCCGCGUGCGGGAUGACGGCCUUCGGGUUGUAAACCGCUGUCGCCUGUGACGAAGCGUGAGUGACGGUAAUGGGUAAAGAAGCACCGGCUAACUACGUG
rnacentral:rRNA from 1 species